rnacentral:rRNA from 1 species
CGGUGGCGUUUGAGUUGAGGUCACACCUGUUCCCAUGCCGAACACAGUAGUUAAGCUCUUCUUCGCCGAAAAUACUUGGAUGGUAACGUCCCGGUAAGAUAGGGUGCUGCCGACACC